AAACUUCGGGAGAAGGGGGCCCGGAAGGUGAAGAAGACUUGCUCUUCUAGCCCGAACGGCCGCAGAGACCAGGGAGAAGCGACUGUUUACUAAAAACACAGGUCCGUGCCAAGUCGCAAGACGAUGUAUACGGACUGACGCCUGCCCGGUGCUGGAACGUUAAGGGGACCGGUUAGCCUCACGGCGAAGCUGAGAACUUAAGCGCCAGUAAACGGCGGUGGUAACUAUAACCAUCCUAAGGUAGCGAAAUUCCUUGUCGGGUAAGUUCCGACCUGCACGAAUGGCGUAACGACUUCUCCACUGUCUCAACCACGAACUCGGCGAAAUUGCACUACGAGUAAAGAUGCUCGUUACGCGCAGAAGGACGGAAAGACCCCGGGACCUUUACUACAGCUUGGUAUUGGUGUUCGGUACGGCUUGUGUAGGAUAGGUGGGAGACUGUGAAGCUGAUACGCCAGUAUCGGUGGAGUCAACGUUGAAAUACCACUCUGGUCGUUCUGGAUAUCUAACCUCGGUCCGUGAUCCGGAUCAGGGACAGUGCCUGGUGGGUAGCUUAACUGGGGCGGUUGCCUCCUAAAAGGUAACGGAGGCGCCCAAAGGUUCCCUCAGCCUGGUUGGCAAUCAGGUUUUGAGUGUAAGUGCACAAGGGAGCUUGACUGUGAGAGUGACAACUCGAACAGGGACGAAAGUCGGGACUAGUGAUCCGGCGGUGGCUUGUGGAAGCGCCGUCGCUCAACGGAUAAAAGGUACCCCGGGGAUAACAGGCUGAUCCUGCCCAAGAGUCCAUAUCGACGGCAUGGUUUGGCACCUCGAUGUCGGCUCGUCGCAUCCUGGGGCUGGAGUAGGUCCCAAGGGUUGGGCUGUCCGCCCAUUAAAGCGGUACGCGAGCUGGGUUUAGAACGUCGUGAGACAGUUCGGUCCCUAUCCUCUGCGCGCGCAGGAAACUUGAGAAGGGCUGUCCCUACUACGAGAGGACCGGGAUGGACGAACCUCUGGUGUGUCAGUUGUUCUGCCAAGAGCACCGCUGAUUAGCUACGUUCGGAAGUGAUAACCGCUGAAAGCAUCUAAGCGGGAAGCAUGCUUCAAGAUGAGGUUUCCAUGGGGUUUACCCCGAGAGGCUCCCAGCUAGACUACUAGGUUGAUAGGCCGGAUGUGGAAGUGCGGUAACGCAUGGAGCUGACCGGUACUAAUAAGCCGAUAAC
rnacentral:rRNA from 1 species